UGGGGAAUAUUGCACAAUGGGGGAAACCCUGAUGCAGCGACGCCGCGUGAGCGAAGAAGGUUUUCGAAUCGUAAAGCUCUGUCCUAUGGGAAGAUAAUGACGGUACCAUAGGAGGAAGCCCCGGCUAACUACGUGCCAGCAGCCGCGGUAAUACGUAGGGGGCAAGCGUUGUCCGGAAUCACUGGGCGUAAAGGGUUCGCAGGCGGAAAUGCAAGUCAGUUGUGAAAGGCAGAGGCUCAACCUCUGUAAGCAAUUGAAACUGUAUUUCUUGAGAUGUGGAGAGGCAAGUGGAAUUCCUAGUGUAGCGGUGAAAUGCGUAGAUAUUAGGAAGAAUACCGGUGGAGAAGGCGACUUGCUGGACACAAACUGACGCUGAGGAACGAAAGCGUGGGUAGCAAACAGG
rnacentral:rRNA from 1 species